AUGAGUUAUAUCUAUGAGGCGUGUAAGACACAUAUGUAUUGUAUUAUUACGAGGAACAUUUGGCCAGAGAUAUAUGUAAGGAAGAGGGCCUCUGAAAUUUACCAACAACGUGAAAAUGACAUCAUGUUGAAGACUCUUGGUGAAGAUUGGUUUACUAAUGUUGUUCGGGAGAGUGUGCCAGUUUUGUCCAUAUUCUCAAUUGCACAUAUUUUCAAAACCCUUAAUUUCUCUCUAAUUCUUGGAAAUCUUUGA